GUACACUCCUGCGGGAGGCAGCAGUGGGGAAUUUUGGACAAUGGGCGAAAGCCUGAUCCAGCCAUGCCGUGUGCAGGAUGAAGGCCUUCGGGUUGUAAACUGCUUUUGUACGGAACGAAACGGCCUUUUCUAAUAAAGAGGGCUAAUGACGGUACCGUAAGAAUAAGCACCGGCUAACUACGUGCCAGCAGCCGCGGUAAUACGUAGGGUGCAAGCGUUAAUCGGAAUUACUGGGCGUAAAGCGUGCGCAGGCGGUUAUGUAAGACAGUUGUGAAAUCCCCGGGCUCAACCUGGGAACUGCAUCUGUGACUGCAUAGCUAGAGUACGGUAGAGGGGGAUGGAAUUCCGCGUGUAGCAGUGAAAUGCGUAGAUAUGCGGAGGAACACCGAUGGCGAAGGCAAUCCCCUGGACCUGUACUGACGCUCAUGCACGAAAGCGUGGGGAGCAAACAGGAUUAGAUACCCCUGUAGUCCCA
rnacentral:rRNA from 1 species